CCUCCCUCCCUCUCGCCGCUCCGCGUCACUCACCGCUUCUCUUCCACUUCCAGCCCACAGCCCAUCCAUCGCCCCCUUGUACCUCUCGCGCGCCCGCGGCCGCCCGCGAUGAGAUAGACGCAGGCUCGAGCGAGAGGAGCGCGCAGGCCCCCCCCCCCCCCCCCCCCACCGCAUGCUAGAGCAGGACGACGGGAGGCAACGAGGGGAGGAGGAUGGCGCUGGGCGUGGUGUUCCACGGCGCGCAGCUGGCGCUGGAUCUGGCGGUGGCCGGGAUGUCGCUGGCGGUCGCGCUCGGCUUCUUCGCUCUCGUCACCGCCGUGCUCUGCUCCGCCGCGUUCCUCCACCACUCCAAGCCCGCCGCGGCGUCCUAGCCGUCGGCCGCUGCUACGCCACUACCGCCGCCGCAACCUCUGGGGAAGGAGGUGCUUCAACCGAUGCCAAGGCUGCUUUAGGGCACUUGCAGAUGCAAAGAAUAGUUGAUUUUGUACACUCCAGGUGAUAGCUAGAUGCUCUUGUACCACAUAUGUAUGUUUCCUUAUGCUGAUUUGUAAAUUAGAUGUUUGCACUGUAGAUUUUGUAAUUGCUGUUUCUCAGGACUAUUGAAAAUUGUUACAUCUCAUAAUUAGUAUGUGCAUUGUUUAAUGCAUACGUUGAACAACCAAAAAGAUUGCGACAAUUGAGUUCUUGUGUGAAUGGUUCAUUUGCAAUAUGAAUAUUUAUCGCCUUUUAAAAAAAAUAAUAUUUCUCGCUUUUAUAGAUUGUAUUAUUAACUCACUCACUCUGUCUCUCUCUCUUCUCUCCCUUGUCCCUUUGCAACCACAUACAGACAUUUCAAACUCUACACAUACUAGGAGCAGUAGAAAGCAACCACAAAUAGAUAACAGCCUGCAAAGUAUAUCUGGACAUAGAGUUAUCCGUUAAUAUCUAUAUAAAUACAUGCAUUUUUUAAUAUGAUACUAGGAGGAUGGUAAGAAUAUCUAAGGGGUACAAUAUGUGCCCAAGCUCCCAAAAGCCUUGCAUUCCCCAUGCUUCUACAAGGAUAUUAGCUAGAUGAUAGUGGUUGAGAGACAUCCUACUAGGAUAUUACAGUGUUUACCAAAAGAAGCCUGUUCUUGACGAACUACGUCUCUUGUUGUGGCUUCUUCUAGUGGUCUUAUCUUCUCCUUUCUUCAUCUUGCCUGCUUUUUUGUCACAGCUGGUCGGGAGCUUGGUAUGCAUCUCCUCUUGCUCAACGUUACCAUGCUCAUCUCUGAUACUGUCAUUUUUAUCAUGAUCUUUCUUUUCUUUGCCAUUACGACUCUUCACUUGAGCUGGUCCUGUGGAAGCAUCGGAAGCCAAGGAAUCAUAAUCCCCAUCAUCAUAAUCUGCAUCGGGUUUGCUUCUACCAUUGCUGCAGAGACUUUCAACAUUACUUCCUUCGGUUUCAUUGGAUUUGACAUCAUCAACACUCACCGGGGAGCCCAGAGACACAGAAAGAGAAGCCAAAGACAACACAAAGAAAGAAGAUGAGACUACAAAACAAGCAAAGGAACACACGCUAAUGCUUCACAACAUCGGACAGUCCAACAUCCAAGUCCGAGAAGAGCACCAAAGCCUCUCCCUCUCCCCCCUCCCCCUCCCUCUCCCUCUCCUUCUCUCAACAGCUAACCAUCUUCACAGGGCAGGCAAUGCAGAGGGGUUGAAUUGCGUGAUGCUAAGAACUUUGCAAGGGGUGGUUGCUUGUGUCUCUGUGUGGAGGCUUGUCAUGGGGCUGCACGCUGCAGAAAGGAUGGCAGUGCCUUUAAAUGGGAAAGGCGGCCUAUCCUUCCAACUGUUUCUCAUAACUUUGUCAACUAUUUCUGUACCUUUUGUUGCUACCAAAGCCAGGUGUAAAACAUUUGCUUGCAAUUGCAGUGUUCCAGGUAUUUCCAUGUGUAGUCCAUGUGGCCUUGGCCUCUCACCUCAUGGUGGGGGCCUGGCAGGG